CACGCCGUAAACGAUGGAUACUAGGUAUAGGGGGUAUUAAAUCCCUCUGUGCCGCAGCUAACGUAAUAAGUAUCCCACCUGGGGAGUACGACCGCAAGGUUGAAACUCAAAGGAAUUGACGGGGACCCGCACAAGCAGUGGAGUAUGUGGUUUAAUUCGACGCAACGCGAAGAACCUUACCAAGGCUUGACAUAAUACUGAAUAUGGUGGAAACAUCAUAGACCUUCGGGACAGUAUUACAGGUGG
rnacentral:rRNA from 1 species